UACGGGGGGGGCAAGCGUUGUUCGGAAUUACUGGGCGUAAAGGGCUCGUAGGCGGCCAACUAAGUCAGACGUGAAAUCCCUCGGCUUAACCGGGGAACUGCGUCUGAUACUGGUUGGCUUGAAUCCGGGAGAGGGAUGUGGAAUUCCAGGUGUAGCGGUGAAAUGCGUAGAUAUCUGGAAGGAACACCGGUGGCGAAGGCGGCAUCCUGGACCGGUAUUGACGCUGAGGAGCGAAAGCCAGGGGAGCAAACGGGGAGUUAAG
rnacentral:rRNA from 1 species